rnacentral:rRNA from 1 species
GCAUAUCAAUAAGUGGAGGAAAAGAAACCAACAGGGAUUGCCUCAGUAACGGCGAGUGAAGCGGCAAAAGCUCAAAUUUGAAAUCUAACACUUUCAGUGUUCGAGUUGUAAUUUGAAGAAAGUUUCUCUGAGUAGUCCUUUAUCUAUGUUCCUUGGAACAGGACGUCAUAGAGGGUGAGAAUCCCGUAUGAUUUUGGAUACUAUUCUUUGUGAGAUUCUUUCGAAGAGUCGAGUUGUUUGGGAAUGCAGCUCUAAGUGGGUGGUAAAUUCCAUCUAAAGCUAAAUAUUGGCGAGAGACCGAUAGCGAACAAGUACAGUGAUGGAAAGAUGAAAAGAACUCUGAAGAGAAGWGAAAAAGUACGUGAAAUUGCUGAAAGGGAAGGGCUUUAGGUCAGAACUUGGUGUUUAAUGAUUAUCUUCUCUUUUUGAGUUGUGCACUCGUUUUUCACUGGGCCAAUAUCAGUUUUUGUGGUAGAGCACCUAUUGGAAUGUAGCUUUUCUUCGGAUGAGUGUUAUAGCCUUUAGACGAUCUAUUUACGGAGACUGAGGACUGCGCGUUAUGCUAGGAUAUUGGCGUAAUGACCUUAAGCCGCCCGUCUUGAAACACGGACCAAGGAGUCUAACGUCUAUGCGAGUGUUUGGGUGUAAAACCCGUACGCGAAAUGAAAGUGAACGUAGAUUGGGGCCUCUUUUGAGGUGCACAAUCGACCGAUCCUGAUGUUUUCAGAUGGAUUUGAGUAAGAGCAUAGCUGUUGGGACCCGAAAGAUGGUGAACUAUGCCUGAAUAGGGUGAAGCCAGAGGAAACUCUGGUGGAAGCUCGUAGCGGUUCUGACGUGCAAAUCGAUCGUCGAAUUUGGGUAUAGGGGCGAAAGACUAAUCGAACCAUCUAGUAGCUGGUUCCUG